AACGCAAGGCUGGGUGUUUUCUCUCACCGCUUCUCUCGAAUUGUAGAUAUUUACACCGGUGACAACAGCAGUAGAGUGUUUUUCACCACCACUCAACUGCCGUUGUCACUAUUUUAAAUGGAAACUUAAGUUUCUGUAUUCCCUUGCAUUGAAAAUACCAAAGUAGCUAGAGUAGAACGAGUCGCAUGAUACUUGGUCAUAUGUGUAUGCAGGGUCUUUCAUUGCUCAAAAAAGGGCUUAGGUGGUGUCUUUGCGUGACAAUGACUGCGAUCGUUCCGGCUUUACAUCCACUGUUAACUCGAUGCGUUGUCUCCCUAUAUUUAUCUACAUUUUCAAGUAUUUAAAUUAUUUUUAUACAUUCACUCAAAGAAUGCUUGUCCCAUUCUUUUUGUCAUUGGUGUUACUUUUACCGUGUAACAACAUAAAAGGUUUCUUAGAAUUCUGUUUCCUCGUUCAGUCUGCACAUACAGGCGAAAGCAGUGUAGGUUAAAGAUUUAGUGGAAUCCACUUAAUUGCAUAAGGAUUAUUUCUUAUUUCGGGUAUUUUCAUAGAAUAGCCAAAUACAUAACCAUGUCCCAUUCAUUCCAUUGCAAAGCGAUCACAAACCAUUACUGCAAAUUUUGGAAUUUCCAUGCAAUUAUGUCUAAUUCCAUCGCACAAUGAUCUAUAAAUAUACCUUAAAAGUCAGCUCAUAAUUAAACCGAUUAUUGGUAUUUGUACUAGAUGGUAUUUGUGUGGGAGUGGUACUAGGUGGUUCUGUUUUUGUGGGAGUGGUACUAGGUGGUUCUGUUUGUGUGGCUGUGGUGCUAGGUGUGGUAUCUUCUAUUCUUUCUGCGGGUUGAGUGUGCACAGGGGCAGACUGAGUCAGCCAGGCAGUAGGAGAUACAGAGGGAGAUUGAGGAGCUGAAAGCAGAGCUGGAUCAGGGGUGAGGAUGAGGAGCUGAUUGGCUCACACCCUCCUAGCCAUAUUGUGUCUGCGCUGCAGCACCAGGCCUCCUGGCUGCAGAGCUCAUUGCAGGAAAAGUUUCCCAUGCUGGAUGUGGAGCAAGAGGUGGCUGCUCUCCGGUAAAUUCACUCUUUUGUGGUUCGUCCUGUAUACUUAGCAUGCGUCCCUUUAUUGACUUCAGGAAGCCCAUUUCCCUCUGCUUUAUUGGGAGUAUCCAGACUUCUCACAGGUAGUUAACAGAGUAUGCCAUCAUAAUAACAUUUGUAUUUGUAUAACAUUUGAUGCACAUUAUGAAUGUGCAACAAAGCAGAACUUAUGCAGUGCCUACGAACAUGGGUUUUGAAGUCCUUGGCGUGACAAGUCCCAUUUUCGCUGAAAAAAGGUUUGACUAAUGGAACCUGACAAAUUUUUGGUGCUUUGCUUCACACCUAACUGAACAGAAGAAGGCUGCUAGAAUUUAAAUGGCACAUGUAAAUGUAUGCAUUGUUACACACCCUCUUGCAUUGGCUAUUCCCCUAGCCAUAAAAGGUUAAAACAGAAGAACUGUUCAUUCUUUAAUUCAGCAAGGGCCUUUCCAUCCUGCUCUGUGAUAAGGACUUAUCUAUGUCUACAUUGGUAUAUCCAGAGAAAUGUGUCAGAAUAACUCAUUUUAAGAUAUUAGCACUAUUUUUUUGACUCCCUGGUGUUGGUUUACUGUUUUUCUCAAUGUACAAUGAAUCAUAUAUCAUUAUGAGAAUAAAUACCUGUAGGACAUCUUGAAAGAAGAGGAGGAACUUCCUUCAGUCAAGUCUCUUUUACAGAGGGGCUGGGAGGAGGUGGAGCAGGCUCUGGUGCAGCUGGCCUGGGUUUGACAGCACCAGGACCAGCUGAAGGCCAACCGGAAGGAAGUGUAUCUGGAACUGCCCCUUGUGAGGGCAGUGUUUGAGCUGUAGCUGCAGUGUGUGCUCCAGGCUGCUCUGACAGACAGCGCGCAGCAUCGCUGCGUGUGCAGGAACAGCGUCGCCCCCGGGUCCAUCCCGCGCCUGAAGUCGGCGUGCACCAGCUGCCCGUGAACCGUAUCCCGACGCCGCAAAUUUAUUUUAAAAUUUUAUUCUGUGUUUUUUUGCAAGCUACCAAGCAGGAGCAAAUCCGUGGGCUAAUUAAGGCUAAUUAUCGCGAAUGCCAAGAGUGAGCUUCCGACAUACGAACAUUCCGAUGUUCACAACGACAUAUCCCACACACAGAGCCGUAUAAAAUGGAUGCCACAUGGACGUCUGACACUCUGCUUGUUUAUUUUUUAUUGAAUGUCCCUUCUUGUGUAGGUUUCAGCCUAUGAGAAUACUGUAUAUUGUUCUUGAGAUUAAGACCAGAGAAUCAUGUCGCCUACAGGGGACAGAAAUGAAUUGCCUGCUCAGAAUAGGAGGAUAUGUUACUGUAUGUGACAUGCUUCUCCUAAUAGAAUUGCGUUGUGCUCUCACGGUUUUGUUUCCGUUUUUGAGGUUUAUUUGGCUAAAUUAAUGUAUUUUCAGUGAUGGAAGCUGUUAAUUUGUCUCAGUUUGUUUUUUAUUUCUCUGCAAUAUUCUGCCCAAACAUGCUUUGUCAGUCAGUCAGGCGAACUUACACUGAUAGUGGCUGGUGUGAAUGCCAGAUAGUAUGCGUACACUGCCACCCAUUGACUGGGCCCUUGUGCACUUAAAUUUGCAAAAUCAUUCAGAAGUUUAUGCCCCCUCCUUUUUUUUGUCCCUCUGACUCCUGUACAUCCUCGACUGGACUCUAAGCCAGAUGAGGCAGUCUGCGGAGGGGAGACUGGGGCCUUGGUGCGGGGCGGCGGUGGAAGUGACAUCAGCACUGCGCAACACCGUGUCCCAGGAGUGUCCAGCGAGUCCCUGCUGAAUGUCUGUCCAUCUACCUCCUGCGCUCCUUCCACAACCUGUGUGAGAGCUUGGCCUUUCCCAUGUACAGGGCACCAGUGCAGCUGACUGCGCAGGCAGCGUCCCAGCAGUUGGAGCUGCAUUUCCUGCGUAGGCUGCUGCGGCUGCAGCUGUACACUCUCUCAUAGGACAACCUGCAGGGCCAGAGGACGCUGUUACCCGCCCUGGCCCAGAAGAGUACAACUGCUCUGUACCUCACUAUGCACUCAGUCUCAACAGCGACUGCCACUUUCUUUUACAGCUACUUCCCAUAGAUAAUAAUAACUGCCUUCCUCUUUACUCUGCUGUACGUCUUGUCAAGCUCCCACUCCGGUCCUCACCGUGCUGUUCCACUGUACUGGCCCUCUGAGAGUGAACAUGCGUGAGGUGAAGGAAGAGCUGCUGCAGUGUUUGCUGCUCUGGGUUAGAGAGCUGAGGCGGCGCACUUCCCAGGGUCUACUGUACGGGGCUCAGACUAAGAUCGGCAUCUCGCACUGGUGGAAGCUGACUGCUCAGUUUGUUCUGCCAGAGUAGCAAUAGUGCAGACUGACUCUGCAGAAGUGGCUGCAUGCAGAGAUGGAGGCUGCAGCCAAGGCCCUGGAAUGAACACAGGACAACCAGCACACACUUACAGACACAUAUACAUACCUUCAUAUGACCAGCACACACUUACAGACACACAUACAUACCUUCAUAUGACCAGCACACUUACAGACACAGGUACAUACCUUCAUAUGACCAGCACACUUACAGACACAGAUACAUACCUUUACAUGACCAGCACACACUUACAGACACAGAUACAUACCUUCAUAUGAUCAGCACACACUUACAGACUCACAUACAUACCUUCAUGUGACCAGAACACACUUACAGACACACAUACAUACCUUCAUAUGACAGCACACACUAACGGACACAGAUACAUACCUUUACAUGACCAGCACACACUUACAGGCACAGAUACAUACCUUCAUGUGACCAGAACACACUUACAGACACAGAUACAUACCUUCAUAUGAUCAGCACACACUUACAGACACAGAUACAUACCUUCAUUUGCCUAGCACACAUUUACAGACACAGAUACAUACCUUCAUAUGACCAGCACACACUUACAGACACAGGUCCAUACUUCAUAUGACCAGCACACACUUACAGACACAGAUACAUACCUUCAUAUCACAUAUAGCUCUACAGAGGAAAAUUACUUUUGUUUAGCUAUUAAGUUUGUGAAUUUACCUACUGGAGAUACGACAUACUGCUUCCAUUUCUGUUUUACAGUCUUUCAUUGUAAUCCUUGCCAUUGGCAUGACGUUUUUUCUGUAUUUUUAUUUGAGGAUAAGGUUCAUUUUGAAAGUGAUCAUGUGUUAUAGUAAUUUGAAUGAUAUGUUUUGUACUAAACUGUAUGUUAGAUAAUUUUUUUCCGUAAUAUGUAAGCCACUGUAACAAUGGAAAUAGCUGGUGUGUUUCCACUCUGCAUUGAUUCACUAUUCUGAAAAUAUGUUUAAAUAACUUUUUGUGUGAUGAUGAGUUAGUACAUUACUGAAAAAUUUAAGGCAGUCACUGUGCCAUACCAUCAAACAAAGACUAUAAUAAAGAGUGCCUCUAUUUUCACUAAGGA